ensembl:lncRNA
CCAUUACACCAUGGAACCGCCAGCGGCCCUGUAUUCCCGCCGCUGAGCCAGGGCUGGCGCAGCCGCGCCGGCCCAGGACCCGCCUCCCGCCCGGCGCUCUCAUCACCCCGCCCCGAGCAGCUUCCUCCACAACGCCAGGGGGCGCCUGCCUCGCCGGCCUGCAGCCGUCUCUUCAGUUGUCCUCUUCCCGCUGCCCUAGGAGCGCUAAACAUCCCCAGAAGAGCCCUUCGGACUUCGUGGGAUGUCCGCUUCCUGGGACCCCAGGUCCAAGGGUAGUAAAAUCGGGGGGCACUGCCAGCUUCGUUCGGGGACAGAACGUCCUCUCUGUGUUGGGAACCCGAUCGAAGCCAAAGCGACAGCGGCCCCGCACAUCUCACCGCGAGCACCCACGCCGCUGGCGCCCAGUGGGGUGUGGUCGGAUACACAGGCGGGCAGCUGCUGAAACUCAGUAGUUCCUGGAUCUUCACUAUUUGGCCCCAGGAUGGUUUCUCCCCGCCCUCAUCAGGUGCAACUGGUCUCUGCACUAUCUGCAGCCCUGCAACUACCCUGACCUGCAUGAUUCCACACCGAUUCCAGAGAACUACCAGGCUGCAGAGGCUGAAGGCACAGGCAUGGGACUUACCACGGUCAGUCUCCAGGCCCAUGGACUAUAGCCCAUCAGCCUCCUCUGUCUGUGGGAUUUCCCAGCCAAGAAUACUGGAGUGCAUUGCCUUUUCUUUCUCCAGGUGAUUUUCCGGAACCAGGGAUUGAACCUGGGUCUCCUGGAUUGCAGGCAGAUUCUUUAUCGACUAAGCCACCUGGGAAGCCCUAAUGGUUAAUAACAGACCAUUUAAAUAUAUAUAUACAGUAGUC